rnacentral:rRNA from 1 species
GACGAACGCUGGCGGCGUGCUUAACACAUGCAAGUCGAACGGAAAGGCCCUGCUUUUGUGGGGUGCUCGAGUGGCGAACGGGUGAGUAACACGUGAGUAACCUGCCCUUGACUUUGGGAUAACUUCAGGAAACUGGGGCUAAUACCGGAUAGGAGCUCCUGCUGCAUGGUGGGGGUUGGAAAGUUUCGGCGGUUGGGGAUGGACUCGCGGCUUAUCAGCUGUUGGUGGGGUAGUGGCUUACCAAGGCUUUGACGGGUAGCCGGCCUGAGAGGGUGACCGGCCACAUUGGGACUGAGAUACGGCCCAGACUCCUACGGGAGGCAGCAGUGGGGAAUAUUGCACAAUGGGCGGAAGCCUGAUGCAGCAACGCCGCGUGCGGGAUGACGGCCUUCGGGUUGUAAACCGCUUUCGCCUGUGACGAAGCGUGAGUGACGGUAAUGGGUAAAGAAGCACCGGCUAACUACGUG